UUCUAGCAGUCCCUGCCAGCCCAUUGCGGUACUUCAACCUAGGACCCGACUCUUUCAUUUCACGUGUCUUCAGAAAUUCCAUCGCAGUGGAUAAUAUGGAUGUAAACUAGCCCUACCUCUCCUCUGUCUCUCUCUAGCUGAGUCCAUGACAGAGGGCUGGGGGUUGAAGUGGUGGUGGGGUUAAUCUCUUACAGCAGAGUGAAUGUCUUGUAUUUAUUCAUGUGUGUACAUUUUUAUUAGUAGUAAUUUAUUUAUUUGUAUAUCCCUGCGGCGCGGGUCCGAAUGUGUGUUUUUUUGGCUUGUGGCGGCGGGGUCCAGAUCCCAUCUGUUCUGGAUGGGAGAGAGAUACACAAACUGAAGAACAAAACACUCUAAAUGUCUUCCUAUAGGGGUUACUACUACUGCCUAUGUUUUAGCCUCAUACCUCCAUAUCUCCACCGCAUCCUCUCUCUCUCUCUCUCCCUUUCUUCCCCGUCUGACACUAACAGAAUACUGUUCAGUUCUGCUCCACUGCCCCAGUGAUAGUGAUGGCUGCUCCACUGCCCCAGUGAUAGUGAUGGCUGCUCCACUGCCCCAGUGAUAGUGAUGGCUGUCCCACUGCCCAGUGCCCAGUGAUAGUGAUGGCUGCUCCACUGCCCCAUGAUAGUGAUGGCUGCUCCACUGCUCCAGUGAUAGUGAUGGCUGCUCCACUGCCCCAGUGAUAGUGAUGGCUGCUCCACUGCCCCAGUGAUAGUGAUGGCUACUCCACUGCCCCAGUGAUAGUGAUGGCUGCUCCACUGCCCAGUGAUAAUGAUAGCUGCUCCACUGCCCAGUGAUAGUGAUGGCUGCUCCACUGCCCCACGACAGUGAUAGCUGUCCUGUCUUCUUCUCUACUUCAUAGCAUUCCAUGUUGGUGACGGACCGCUGUGUUCUGUCUACUGGACCAAGCUCUAGUUCUAGAAGCACUAACCCGCUCUGGAGAGCGAGAGUGGGGUGUUCCAAAUGGCAUCAUUUUCCCUCUAUAGUGUACCACUUUUAACCUGUGCCCCUAUGCACUGUAUAGGAAACAGGGUGUCAUUUGGGACAUACACAUGGGGGUCUUAAUGACGUCCGUUUGAUGUUUUCUGUCAUCAACUCUGGUGAGGGACUAAAACAGCUGAUAUAGGGACUAAAACAGCUGAUAUAGGGACUAAAACAGCUGAUAUAGGGUCUAAAACAGAUGAUAUAGGGACUAAAACAGCUGAUAUAGGGACUAAAACAGCUGAUAUAUGGACUAAAACAGCUGAUAUAGGGACUAAAACAGCUGAUAUAGGGACUAAAACAGCUGAUAUAGGGCCUAAAACAGCUGAUAUAGGGACUAAAACAGCUGAUAUAGGGUCUAAAACAGCUGAUAUAGGGCCUAAAACAGCUGAUAUAUGGACUAAAACAGCUGAUAUAUGGACUAAAACAGAUGAUAUAGG
rnacentral:lncRNA from 1 species